GACGAACGCUGGCGGCGUGCCUAACACAUGCAAGUCGAACGGCAAGGCCCUGCUAUUGUGGGGUGCUCGAGUGGCGAACGGGGGAGUAAGACGUGAGUAACCGGCCCUUGACUUUGGGAUAAGUUCAGGAAACGGGGGCUAAUACAGGACAGGAGAUCCCGCAGCAGGGAGGGGGUGGGAAAGUCUCGGCGGUUGGGGAUGGACGCGCGGCUUAUCAGCUUGUUGGUGGGGGGGUGGUUUCCCAAGGAAGUGGCGGGUAGCCGGCCUGGGAGGGUGACCGGCCACAUUGGGACUGAGGGACGGCCCAGUCGCCUACGGGAGACAGCGGUGGGAAAUAUUGCCCAAUGGGCGGGAGCGUGAGACGGCAGCGCCGCGUUCGGGAUGACGGCCUUUGGGUUGAGAACCGCUUUCGCCUGUGACGAAGCGUGAGUGACGGUAAUGAGUAAAGAAGCACCGGCUAACUACGUG
rnacentral:rRNA from 1 species